CUUAGCAGCUUAAUGCCUUUAUCAUCUCAAAUGGUUUCUGUGGGACAGGGAUCUGGGAGCAGCUUGGCUGGGGGGUGGCUCUGGCUCAGGGUCUGUCGCGAGGUUGCAGCAGAGAGAAAGCAUCAACUAUACGAAGGUAUGUUUCCCCCAAGAAGAAAUUAAGGGGCAGGACCGGAGCAGCCCUGGGAACAGGAUACCGCCCAACCCUCU
rnacentral:lncRNA from 1 species